rnacentral:rRNA from 1 species
AUGGUCAAGUGGGCAGAUAUAUGCAGGCCCAAGGACCAAGGUGGGCUGGGAAUUAUGGUGUCUCGUCGCAUGAAUGUUGCACUUAUGUUGCAAUGGGUAUGGCGGAUCAUGCUCGGCGAGGGAGGACUAUGGUUAUUGCUGAUUCAAGCAAAAUAUAUGAGAGGUGUACCCCUCCUGGUGUACUCACGACCCGGAGGUUCCAAGUUUUGGCAAUCCACACAAAAGAUAAAGGAGGAUAUCCGCCUUGGGAUUUCCUUCACUAUAGGUAAUGGGGAUGGGACCCAAUUCUGGUUAGACCCAUGGAUGGGUACCGAGACCCUCAUGGUGGGCUUCCCUACCCUUUUCUCUAUAUGCUUGGACCCAUCUAUUCUAGUUUCUGAGGCGUCACGUUCGGGAAAGUGGGAUAUCUGA